AAACUUACAUUGAUAAAAGAUUGAUGUUACAAUAAGGUAUGUGACAUGUAAAGAACUAAAGAUAGCAUAAUUUUGUCAACACGGUCGUCAUAUAUGAAGUCUUACUUCUAAAACGAAGGUACGUAACAUGUAAAGAACUAAAGCAAGCAUAAUUUCGUCCACACGAUCGUCGUAUAUGAAGUCUUAUUUUUAAAACAAAGGUAAUUUUACGUAAGUUAACCGAGAUUUUGUAUUUAUAUUUCUAACUUAACAAAUUUGAUACCAAAGCAUUGCGUAGUAUGAA